rnacentral:rRNA from 1 species
AUUGAACGCUGGCGGCAGGCCUAACACAUGCAAGUCGGGCGAGCGGAGGACGGGUGAGUAAUGUAUGGGGAUCUGCCUGAUGGAGGGGGAUAACUACUGGAAAAGGUAGCUAAUACCGCAUAACAUCAGAUGAACCCAUACGGGAUUCGCUUGGAGGUGGGGUAAAUGCUCACCUAGGCGACGAUCCCUAGCAGGUCUGAGAGGAUGAUCAGCCACCCGGGGACUGAGCCACGGCCCAGACGCCUACGCGAGGCAGCAGUGGGGAAUAGUGCCCAAUGGUCUCAAGCCUGAUGCAGCCAUGCCGCGUGUGUGAAGAAGGCCUUCGGGUUGUAAAGUACUUUCCGUCGCGAGGCGUUACCGACAGAAGAAGCACCGGCUAACUCCGUGCCAGCAGCCGCGGUAAUUC